GGCAAUUUUUGAGAACAUCGAUGUUUUACACUUUAGUCGUCCCUCCAUAUAAAUUUUUCCUGGUUUCGCCCUUGGAUACCACGUCACAAAAUACAUACAUAAUUUUUUUUUCGAGCAGGAGGGUUGUAGAGAGAGAGAACAUGAAGAAAAACAAGAAACUCGCACAAGAUAAAGAGUCAAUGAGGUGCGCCACCAAGGAUUGUUGGACGUGUAUUGACAUAAAAGUAGCUCGCCAUCUCCAACCUUCAUCAAGACAACCGAAUGGAGCUAUAUGGUU
rnacentral:lncRNA from 1 species